UAGAAGAAAGAACAUGGAAAGACUUAAUAUAGGUGACAAGAAAGACACACUGAUAACCUGAUAAUAUAAUUCGGUGGGUGUGAGCUAACGACAUUAUAAUGGAAGCAAUCCAGAACAAGAUCUUUCGAACUCGGAAUACAAUGGUAACCACAAUUUAGAUUACAGAUGGAAAUAAAAGAAAAGGAAAACUGUUUUCAAUUGAAUUCCAUUUUGGUAUGCUGGGGCACAGCCUUGAAGAAUUUUAGUCAAAUGAAUCAGCCUCUUUGUAAAGCGUGGUACUUAAACUAUUGGUCUCUUUUGCCAAACUGCUAAGUUACAGGGAUGUAAACAUGCCAACACCAGUUGUAAAGUGAUGGAGGGGGACAAACACACACACACAGAUACUUAUAGAAUACAAAAUGGCUUCUGCACAUUUCAGCUCCUUACUCAAAAAGUAUCAAUAUUAACAUGAGUCCAGAAUGCUGCUACUUUAUAAUGAACAGUAUAUUUUCCUUUUCAUAUUAAAUAUUGUAAUAGCAUAUGCAGUCUAAAAUAAUAACUCUGUCUUAUUGGAAAACAUUCUUUCACAGAUGUGGUGUGCAAGAGAGACAACUGCGCUGGCAUGGUCAUGUGUUGCAAAUGAAUGAGGACAGCUGUGUGAAAAAGUGUCAAACCCUAGCAGUUGAGGGAACCUGUGUAAGAGGUAGACCCAGGAAGACCUGGGAUGAGGUGGUGAAGCACGACCUUUGAGCAUUAGGCCUUACCGAGGUAAUGACUAAUGACCGAGACCUUUGGAGAUAUGCUAUGCUUGAGAAAAUCCGACAAGCCAAGUGAGACCAUAAACCGUGGCUUAUACCAGUGGGUGUAACCAGCCCACUCAUGAGUACCCCUCAUUCAUUGGACAAUAAAUUUUGCUUGUGAAGACCUGUUGAAGUAAGUGAAAUCAAAUUGGGUCAAUGGGUUCCUCACAAACUUUCCAAGUCUAAUGCUCAGCAACAUACAGCAAGGAUGACAUUCCAAAGGCUGGAGCAGUUUGAAUGGGAAAUGAUGCCCCAUCCACCAUAUUUGCCGGAUAUUGCUCCAUUUGAUUAUCAUUUAUUCUGCAGUCUUCAAAAUCAUUUGGACGGAAAAAAUAUGAAUUCUGUAGAUGAGGUCAGAAUAGUACAGGAGGAGUAUUUUCUAUCACGGACAAGUGAAUUUAAGAAGAGGGGCCUUGCAAGUCUACUAGAUAGA